rnacentral:lncRNA from 1 species
GCACCAAAAUAAAAAAAAAACCUGCUCACAACUUAAAUAAACUUAUAAAGUCCCUUAAACUAAGUGAUGUGUGGAGAAACAGAAAUCCAAACAAAAUUCAAUAUACAUGGAGUAGAAAAGAUAGAUCGGAGUCGACAAGAAUUGAUUAUUUUUUAAUUGCUCCUGAGGUAUUCAAAAACUGUGUUUCAUGUGAUAUAAGACCAAUAGUACUACAAUACACAGAUCACAACUGUGUUUCCUUAAAAAUAAAUUUAAGUAGAGGACAAAAAGGAAGGGGAUACUGGAAACUUAACAGUAGUGUACUUCAAAAUGAAGACUACAUUGAAAUAAUUAAUAAGAUAAUAAAAAAUUAUAAAAACAAGGCAAAAACUAAAACUGAACUUGACAUUCUGUGGGACAAUUUCAAAAUUGAAGUUAGAGACCAGACAAUCAACUAUUGUAAAAUAAAAGCUAAAAAUAAAAAAGACCAAAUCAGCCAGUUGGAAAAAAUGUUAACGGAAUUAAAUAAAAUUAUAGACAAAUCAUCAUGCAAUGACAAAAACAAAAGCAAUUUAGUACAGAAAGUAGAAAAUAUAGAAAAUGAAAUAGGAAAACUCUAUAAUGAGAAAAUAAAAGGUAAUCGAAUAAGGGCAAGGGUAAAAUGGGUUGAAGAGGGAGAAAAAAAUUCAGCAUAUUUUCUAGGGAUGGAAAAAUCUAGACAGAGUAGAAAAACAAUAACCCAAUUAUAUGAUGAUAAGGGUCAAAUUACAAGAGAUCAAGACAAAAUAUUAGAAUUAGAAGCAAAUUAUUAUAAAAAUUUGUACUCUACAAAAAAUCCCGA